rnacentral:sRNA from 1 species
UCGACGCGGACGUGUUCCCCACCUCGCGUU